CCUUUGAUGACGACUGGCGCACGGGUGAGUAACGCGUAUCCAACCUUCCCAUAACUACGGGAUAACCCGUUGAAAGACGGCCUAAUACCGUAUGAUAUCGUUUGCUGACAUCAAAUAACGAUUAAAGGUUUAGCGGUUAUGGAUGGGGAUGCGUCUGAUUAGCUUGUUGGCGGGGUAACGGCCCACCAAGGCAACGAUCAGUAGGGGUUCUGAGAGGAAGGUCCCCCACAUUGGAACUGAGACACGGUCCAA
rnacentral:rRNA from 1 species